rnacentral:rRNA from 1 species
GUAGGGAAUAUUGGGCAAUGGAUGCAAGUCUGACCCAGCCAUCCCGCGUGCCGGAAGAAGGCCCUCAGGGUUGUAAACGGCUUUUGACGGUGAAGAAUCGACAGGAUGCGUCCUGUUUUUACGGUAGCCGUUGAAUAAGCACCGGCUAACUCCGUGCCAGCAGCCGCGGUAAUACGGAGGGUGCGAGCGUUGUCCGGAGUUAUUGGGUUUAAAGGGUGCGUAGGCUGGAAGGUCAGUCAGCGGUGAAAAGCUGUCGCUUAACGAUAGUCUUGCAGCAGAUACUUCCUUUCUUGGAUGAGGAGGAGGCCACUGGAACGGAUGGUGUAGCGGUGAGAUGCAUAGAUAUCAUCCAGAACACCGAUUGCGAAGGCAGGUGGCUGUACCUUAAUCGACGCUGAUGCACGAAAGCAUGGGGAGCAAACAGGAUUAGAAACCCCAGUAGUCC